CCCUACUUCCGGCCUGUGCGUUCCACCUGACUUCCGGUCACUGCAUUCCAUUCCACACACUGGAAUCCUCAGUGUCCGUAGAGAUCAGGCUCUUCCACAGAUACGAAGACAGUUCCACAAAAGAGGGAGUAUAUAGAGGAACACAGGGGUCUGUACAAGGACGUGAUGAUGGAGAAUCACCGGCCCCUCACAUCACUGG